rnacentral:lncRNA from 1 species
CUGGACAGCUGACUGGCUUCUUCACAACCGUUUUCCUUCUUUUCGCCCAACGUAACCACUGGGAGGUAUCCACAGAAGGGGGCUCCUCAGACACUGCCUGGUGUCCUCUGUCUCAGCCCCAGGGGAAAGGACUGUCACGGGGCGGAGUGGGAACUUUGGGUGAAACUGGGCAGGGGGUGCUGGCCAAGGCGGGGGAGGGGGUGGACUCCCAUCAGGUCAGGAGCUCCGAGGUGCGCUCCAGGAGCCUCAGGGGCCUUCGGGAUGGAGCCGCUGGGCAUUGGCGAGAGGCUUCCGUCCACAGCACAGCCCCGCACGGGGGCAGAGGACGGGAAGGGACCCAGGGCAGCCCCAAACCACCUCGGACUUUUGGAAAAUGAACUGGAAAGAAACAAGACUUCUUUUGAAAAGAAGAAUGUCCACUCUGGGCUGUGCAUCUUUGGAAGGAAUGCUGAGACCCCCGGUUCCCACUGUCCCCGUGGGCCAUACCCCGUGAGCCAGCGGGACCGGCUCCGAAGGCAGAAGGUCAGCCCGGGGUCAGCUUCAGCCUU